GUAUAGGUGGAUAGUUGGGAAAGGAAUGAUAGUCUCUGGAAUUCAAUGACAAUAUCUUCUAUUGUCUAGCACUUUUGCCACCUGACACCGAUAUUUCCUUUUCAUCUAUACUUUCAACUGAAUUUCCUGUCUAGGAUCUCAAUGUACUAUACAUCCCUCUUCAUCAGAUACAGAUAUCUUUCUUCAUGACCAGGAAUAAUAUUGCAUACUAGUAAAAGCAGCAAUGGAAGCAGAGAAUUGAUUCUGAUUGCUGGAAGAUCGUACCUUCAAGUUUUACCCAUUGGACCAAAUGAAGCCACUGACUCCUUGGACUCAUGUCAGACUGCUGCUCUACUUAAGAAGAGAGGAAGAAGAAUUUUCAAUACCAAAAAAUAGGGAGGAAAAGUCACAUAUGAUAUGUGCUGACUACGAUUCCUGUUUCCAUCUCCUCAUCUCUCAUUAACUCUCAGUGCCCUCCAGUCUGCCAUCUAGCCCACCACAGCACCAGAUAACUCCAGAUGGAGCUGCACAGCCAUCUUGUAAACCUGCAGGAAAUCACUCACUAUGGAUGACAGAGCAGAAAGACAGAAGCAGCUUCGGUCUUCAUUGAUUGCACAGAGCUACUAGGCUAACGGUCAACUGCUUACC